rnacentral:rRNA from 1 species
GACGAACGCUCGCUACAGGUCUCACACACGCAAGCCGAGGGGCAGCACGAACUUCAGCUCGCCAAGCUCGACGGCGACCGGCGCACGGGCGAGUAACACGUAUCCAACCCGCCGAGCGACUUCGGGGAUAGCCUUUUCGAAAGAAAGAAUCAAAUACCCGAGCGGCAUAGUUCUUCCGCACGGUGGAACUAUUAAAGAAAUCUCGGUCAUCGAUCGGGGAUCGCGCUCCAUUAGGUUCGUUGGCGGGGUAACGGCCCACCAAGCCUUCGAUGGAUAGGGGUUCUGAGAGGAAGGUCCCCCACAUUGGAACUGAGACACGGUCCAAACUCCUACGGGAGGCAGCAGUGAGGAAUAUUGGUCAAUGGACGAGAGUCUGAACCAGCCAAGUAGCGUGAAGGAUGACUGCCCUAUGGGUUGUAAACUUCUUUUAUACGGGAAUAAAGUGAGGCACGUGUGCCUUUUUUGUAUGUACCGUAUGAAUAAGGAUUCGGCUAACUCCGUGCCAGCAGCCGCGGUAAUACGGAGGAUUCCGAGCGUUAUCCGGAUUUAUUGGGUUUAAAGGGAGCGUAGGCGGACGCUUAAGUCAGUUGUGAAAGUUUGCGGCUCAACCGUAAAAUUGCAGUUGAUACUGGGUGUCUUGAGUACAGUAGAGGCAGGCGGAAUUCGUGGUGUAGCGGUGAAAUGCUUAGAUAUCACGAAGAACUCCGAUUGCGAAGGCAGCUUGCUGGACUGUAACUGACGCUGAUGCUCGAAAGUGUGGGUAUCAAACAGGAUUAGAUACCCUGGUAGUCCACACAGUAAACGAUGAAUACUCGCUGUUUGCGAUAUACAGUAAGCGGCCAAGCGAAAGCGUUAAGUAUUCCACCUGGGGAGUACGCCGGCAACGGUGAAACUCAAAGGAAUUGACGGGGGCCCGCACAAGCGGAGGAACAUGUGGUUUAAUUCGAUGAUACGCGAGGAACCUUACCCGGGCUUGAAUUGCAACUGAAUGAUGUGGAGACAUGUCAGCCGCAAGGCAGUUGUGAAGGUGCUGCAUGGUUGUCGUCAGCUCGUGCCGUGAGGUGUCGGCUUAAGUGCCAUAACGAGCGCAACCCUUAUCGAUAGUUACCAUCAGGUUAUGCUGGGGACUCUGUCGAGACUGCCGUCGUAAGAUGUGAGGAAGGUGGGGAUGACGUCAAAUCAGCACGGCCCUUACGUCCGGGGCUACACACGUGUUACAAUGGGGGGUACAGAAGGCAGCUACACGGCGACGUGAUGCUAAUCCCGAAAGCCUCUCUCAGUUCGGAUUGGAGUCUGCAACCCGACUCCAUGAAGCUGGAUUCGCUAGUAAUCGCGCAUCAGCCACGGCGCGGUGAAUACGUUCCCGGGCCU